rnacentral:misc_RNA from 1 species
ACCAAAUUCCCAAGUAACGUUUCUCGGAAUCGGAAUCGUCGGGACUGAAGAAACCCAAUUCGAAUGAUCCAUCUCUGGAAACCAAGGACUUGCCAUCGCUCAAAGAUAGGGAGGGAGUAAUGGUGUCAAGGGCAGUGGAGAUUUUGAACAGGAAAAUGAGAAGAUUGGUACUGAGAAAUCCAAGUGAAGCGAUAGCCAUUAACGUCUACUGUUGGAAGUGCAUGUUUCCAAGUUGUAAAUUCUACCCGAUUAAGCAAGUGAAAAAGAGCAGACUCGUACGAGCUGAUAGAUAGCAACAUUAUGAAUAAGAAAUUGCAGCUUGCGACAAGAGACUCCAUAUUUAAUUCAAUCAUGAUGGACAUUAGUCGUGAUUGUUGAAAAUUCAUUCGAUUAGCGUUUGACCAACGUCACACUGAGCCAGCAACCGCAAUCGAUUCCGACGGCUAAGGACAGUUGUCCUUCAACGCAGAAGACUCUUGGUUUUCUCAUAAACAGCACAGCAAACACCUGCUAGGCAUGGUAACCUGCCCAUGAAGAACCGUAUUUUUCACGCUAUAAAGCCAGAAAAGAGUAACACAAACAAGACCUCCAAUGCAGAAUUCCAGAAAAUUAUCAUAUAUGGCGUCUAGAAGCAUAGACUUGUGGGAUGUAAAUCUGAUCCCACAAGAAGACAAAAACAUCGGAA